AGGGGUAACAUGAUGUAGUAAUACGUUGAUGACGACCGGCGUACGGGUGAGUAACGCGUAUGCAACCUACCCUGUACCGGGGGAUAGCCCGGAGAAAUUCGGAUUAAUACCCCAUAAAGAUAUCAUGAGGCAUCUUAGGAUAUUUAAAGUUUUCGGCGGUACGGGAUGGGCAUGCGUAACAUCAGCUGGUUGGUAGGGUAACGGCCUACCAAGGCGACGAUGUUUAGGGGUCCUGAGAGGGUGAUCCCCCACACUGGUACUGAGACACGGACCAGACUCCUACGGGAGGCAGCAGUGAGGAAUAUUGGUCAAUGGGCGCAAGCCUGAACCAGCCAUCCCGCGUGCGGGAAGACGGCGCUAUGCGUUGUAAACUGCUUUUCCAGGGGAAGAAAACCCACGACGCGUCGUGGCUUGCCGGUACCCUGGGAAUAAGCAUCGGCUAACUCCGUGCCAGCAGCCGCGGUAAUACGGAGGAUGCGAGCGUUAUCCGGAUUUAUUGGGUUUAAAGGGUGCGUAGGCGGAUCAAUAAGUCAGUGGUGAAAACCCUCAGCUUAACUGGAGACUUGCCAUUGAUACUGUUAGUCUUGAGUACGGUCAAGGUAGGCGGAAUGUGUAAUGUAGCGGUGAAAUGCUUAGAUAUUACACAGAACACCGAUUGCGAAGGCAGCUUACUGGGCCAUUACUGACGCUGAUGCACGAAAGCGUGGGGAGCGAACAGGAUUAGAUACCCUGGUAGUCCACGCCGUAAACGAUGAUCACUCGCUGUUGGCGAUACACAGUCAGCGGCUAAGCAAAAGCAUUAAGUGAUCCACCUGGGGAGUACGGCCGCAAGGCUGAAACUCAAAGGAAUUGACGGGGGCCCGCACAAGCGGAGGAACAUGUGGUUUAAUUCGAUGAUACGCGAGGAACCUUACCUGGGCUUAAAUGUAGAGUGCAUGAAGUGGAAACAUUUCUUUCCAUCGGGACUCUUUGCAAGGUGCUGCAUGGUUGUCGUCAGCUCGUGCCGUGAGGUGUCGGGUUAAGUCCCAUAACGAGCGCAACCCUUAUCGUUAGUUGCCAGCGGGUCAUGCCGGGAACUCUAACGAAACUGCCGGUGUAAACCGUGAGGAAGGUGGGGAUGACGUCAAAUCAGCACGGCCCUUAUGUCCAGGGCUACACACGUGUUACAAUGGCCGGUACAGAGGGCAGUUACCUGGAGACAGGAUGCGAAUCUCC
rnacentral:rRNA from 1 species